AGCGAACGUUAGCGGCGGGCUUAACACAUGCAAGUCGAGCGAGAAAGGGGCUUCGGCCCUGAGUACAGCGGCGGACGGGUGAAUAACACGUAGGUAACCUUCCUUUCAGCGGGGGGACAACGGUCCGAAAGGACCGCUAAUACCGCAUACGUUCCCUGGGACCUCGGUCCUGGGGAGGAAGGCCCGCAAGGGCCACUGGAUGAGGGGCCUGCGUAGCAUCAGCUAGUUGGUGGGGUAAUGGCCUACCAAGGCGAAGACGCUUAGCUGGCCUGAGAGGAUGAUCAGCCACACUGGGACUGAGACACGGCCCAGACUCCUACGGGAGGCAGCAGUGGGGAAUAUUGGACAAUGGGCGCAAGCCUGAUCCAGCCACGCCGCGUGAGUGAUGAAGGCCUUC
rnacentral:rRNA from 1 species